UGGGGAAUAUUGGACAAUGGGCGGAAGCCUGAUCCAGCCAUGCCGCGUGUGUGAAGAAGGCCUUUUGGUUGUAAAGCACUUUAAGCGAGGAGGAGGCUACUUGGAUUAAUACUCUAGGACAGUGGACGUUACUCGCAGAAUAAGCACCGGCUAACUCUGUGCCAGCAGCCGCGGUAAUACAGAGGGUGCGAGCGUUAAUCGGAUUUACUGGGCGUAAAGCGUGCGUAGGCGGCUUCUUAAGUCGGAUGUGAAAUCCCUGAGCUUAACUUAGGAAUUGCAUUCGAUACUGGGAAGCUAGAGUAUGGGAGAGGAUGGUAGAAUUCCAGGUGUAGCGGUGAAAUGCGUAGAGAUCUGGAGGAAUACCGAUGGCGAAGGCAGCCAUCUGGCCUAAUACUGACGCUGAGGUACGAAAGCAUGGGGAGCAAACAGG
rnacentral:rRNA from 1 species